GACGAACGCUGGCGGCGUGCCUAGUACAUGCAAGUAGAACGCUGAAGGAGGAGCUUGCUUCUCUGGAUGAGUUGCGAACGGGUGAGUAACGCGUAGGUAACCUGCCUGGUAGCGGGGGAUAACUAUUGGAAACGAUAGCUAAUACCGCAUAAUAGUAGAUGUUGCAUGACAUUUGCUUAAAAGGUGCAAUUGCAUCACUACCAGAUGGACCUGCGUUGUAUUAGCUAGUUGGUGAGGUAACGGCUCACCAAGGCAACGAUACAUAGCCGACCUGAGAGGGUGAUCGGCCACACUGGGACUGAGACACGGCCCAGACUCCUACGGGAGGCAGCAGUAGGGAAUCUUCGGCAAUGGACGGAAGUCUGACCGAGCAACGCCGCGUGAGUGAAGAAGGUUUUCGGAUCGUAAAGCUCUGUUGUAAGAGAAGAACGAGUGUGAGAGUGGAAAGUUCACACUGUGACGGUAGCUUACCAGAAAGGGACGGCUAACUACGUG
rnacentral:rRNA from 1 species